rnacentral:sRNA from 1 species
AUGGUCUUUGGAGAUUUCAAAACAGCAUCAUCAGAAUGAGAUCCUGUCUCAAAAAAUAAAAAAAUAACAUCUUUCCCCCAUCAUCCUCCAACACAGGUGCAGCUGGACCUAGCUGAGACAGACCUUUCCCAGGGUGUAGCCCGGUGGUAUGACCUGAUGGACGACAAGGACAAGGGCAGCUCCUAGGAGCUGGCGAGUCCCAGCCUGACUCUGCUCUGUCUUCCUGCCUUCGUCUUGCUCCAUCACCGCCUCAAUGUGAUGAGCCUAAAGCUACGGUCCAAGGGCAGAGCCUGUGCCCUUCAGCCCUUUCACCUAACAGGCCCAUAUUCGGGCCUUUGCCUGACCAAAGAGAAGAACUGUAUGUUCCCUUUACUGCACGGCCUUUAUCCUUCUGGGCCCCUAGGGCGGGGACCUGAGCUGGCUGUUUCCUGCUCUGCCUGCACAUUGUUCUCCCUUCCUCCCAACUCCUCAGGGCCUUCUGUAUCUGUGCCUGGCCACUGGCAGCACUAGCAGUGGUAUUAGCUUAUGCCAAAUACAGCUUUGGAAGGAUCUUUUUUUCUUUAACUAGAUGGUCACCUUCUUCCCUGCCACACAUGGGUGGGAAGGUGGACAGGCUAACCUCUCCAGCUGUGAGCCUCUUAGACUACUGCAUGUAGCAAAUGUUCAGCAGCUCAGGCCCCCAUAUCCAGUUCUGUCCCCACUUUCCUCAACCCUGUC